rnacentral:rRNA from 1 species
UACAGAGGGGGCAAGCGUUGUUCGGAAUUACUGGGCGUAAAGGGCGCGUAGGCGCCUUCUAAGUCGAACGUGAAAUCCCUGGGCUUAACCCAGGAACUGCGUCCGAGACUGGAAGGCUUGAAUCCGGGAGAGGGAUGCGGAAUUCCAGGUGUAGCGGUGAAAUGCGUAGAUAUCUGGAGGAACACCGGUGGCGAAGGCGGCAUCCUGGACCGGUAUUGACGCUGAGGCGCGAAAGCCAGGGGAGCAAAGCGGG